rnacentral:rRNA from 1 species
AUAAAAAGUAGUAUCUGCCCACUGUUGAUAUAAAUGGCUGCAGUAUUCUGACUGUACAAAGGUAGCAUAAUCAUUUGUUCUUUAAUUGAGGACUGGGAUGAAGGAUUUGACUUUGAUUUAAUUGUCUUUUUUGUGGGGAUUGAAUUUUAUUUUUUGGUGAGGAAGCUAAAAUUAUUUAGAAAGACAAGAAGACCCUAUGAAAGUUUAUAAUUAUUGUGUUUAUUGAUAGAAACUGAACAUGAGGGAUUAUUGGGUUGGGGCGAUUGUUUAUGAAAACGAGAUUAGGUUUUUCUUUGAUGGAGUUUUAUGAUCUUAUUUUGAUUUAUUGAUUAAGUUACUCUAGGGAUAACAGCAUAAUUUGCUUUGAUAGUUCUUAUUGGUAAGUAAGUUUGUGACCUCGAUGUUGGAUUAGGAUUCCUGCUUUUUGUAGAAGGAAAGUUAGGUUGUCUGUUCGACAAUUAAAAUCCUACA